GUGCACAAAGGACUCCACCAAGCUGUGAAUUAUGCUCACAUGAAAAGUACUUUAAUUUUCAUAUAUAAGGCAAUCCGUUUAUGCGAGGGAAUCAGCAACGAAGAGAAAGUACAUCUGAGGCAAAAACUGGUAUCCCAUUUAAGAGAAGAAAACUAUCAAACAACUCUCAUGUUGGCUAUGCUCAUCUCAAAAAUUGCUCGAAUUGAUUAUCUAGUAGAAUG